AAUCAUUCAUCGCUCCGCCCCACUCCUCACUCCCUGCCCCCGGCCCUCCCUGCCUCCAUUACUCGCCUCGCGUCUCUCCCAGCUGUCUCCAUUAAUCACCUCACUGGCCGCUGCCCAGAUCUUCUGCCAACGCCGCGCCCCUCCUUCUCAGAUCCAAUCCAAGCGCAGCCUCCCUCCUGCUCAGAUCUCCUCCAAGCGCCGCCGCCCUGCUUCCCCUUACCCUUCCUGCCGUGCUUCGUCCGUGCUAGCUUCUCCAUGGCGACACGACGGUGAGGGCAGUGACAGCACAGCUGCAGCCGCGACGGCGGCGACGACGACGACGAGGAGUACUCAAACUUUGAGUGACACAUAAGCUCUUCUCCUCUGGGUUUGCUUGCUUCUAUCCAUCCGGUAUCAGCAAAAGGAAGCGGAAAUGACGAUGGUCCUGGAUGCCUUUGCAUCCUACGUGCAAAACAUGCUCACGGAGAUGGUGAGUGAAGAGGUGCACAUGCUGCUUGGAGUCACAAACCAGAUCAAGAAGAUGGACGUCAAGCUUAAGGACCUCAAGAACUUCCUCGCCGACGCUGACCGGAGAAACAUCACCGACGAGAGCGUGCAGGAGUGGGUGGCCCAGCUCAAGCGUGCCAUGUACGAAGCUACAGACAUCCUUGACCUCUGUCAGCUCAAGGCCAUGGAGCGCGGUCCCUCCACUGCAGAUGUGGGGUGCUUCAACCCCUUGCUCUUCUGCAUGCGGAAUCCCUCCCAUGCCCACGACAUCGGCACCCGCAUCAAGGCGCUCAACCAGAACCUCGACGACAUCAAGGAGCGAAGCGCUGCUUUCAGCUUCAUACCUCUUGGUUCCUCUGAGGAUCCUAGUAGCAAGGUGCAAGCCUCUCGUUCUGGCAAUAAGAGACGUGAGACGUCAGGGGUGUUUGACCGGUCGGCUGUAGUCGGAGAGAAGAUUGAACAAGACACAAGAAAGCUGGUUGAGAUCAUGCUGAGUGAAAAGGAGGGCAACCCCAACAUCAUGGUGUUCGCCGUUGUCGGUGUCGGCGGAAUCGGCAAGACCACUCUUGCCCACAAGGUCUUCAAUGACGAAGCCUUGAACAACAAGUUCCAGAAGACGAUAUGGUUGAGCAUCAACAAGGACUUUGAUGAGGUUGAGUUGCUCAGGACAAUCAUCACGCAAGCGGGGGGAGUACAUGGUGGUAAUAAGGCGUUGGCUAUGCUUCAGCCAAUCCUUGUCACUACCUUGAAAGGGAAGAAGCUAUUCCUGGUGCUGGAUGAUGUGUGGAACCAUGGGGCGUGGGAUGAUGUGCUUAAAACACCCUUGGCUAAUGUUGUGGCUCCAGGUAGCCGAGUCCUCGUCACUACUAGAGAUGAAAUAGUAGCUCGAAUGAUGAAAGUGGUGCUUCCCUACCACCAUGUGGACAAAUUAGAUGAGGAGGAUGCCUGGUCAUUGCUCCAGAAACAGUUCAACUGCUUGCAGAUAAUCUCAAGUGAGAAUGAUGGACGUGACAUUGAUAUGCUCAAGGACAUUGGGUUGCAAAUUAUAGCAAAAUGUGAUGGUUUGCCUCUUGCAGUCAAAGUAAUGGGAGGUCUAUUGUGUCAGAAGGACAAAAACCGCCAUGAGUGGGAGAUGGUUCUGGCUGAUUCUGUAUGGUCGAUAUCUGGAAUGCCCGAAGAGCUAAACCAUGCAGUGUAUUUAAGCUAUGAAGAUUUACCUUCUACUGCCAAACAAUGCUUUCUGCAUUUCUCCCUUCUCCCUAAAACUGCAAAGUUUUUUUGCAAUGAAAUCAUUGGCAUGUGGAUAAGUGAAGGAUUUCUUCAUGGGACCUCGGAUGACUUAGAAGAACUCGGACGCAAGUACUAUAAGGAGCUUAUAUUGAGGAAUCUUAUAGAGCCAAAUAUAGAGUAUAUCGAUCAAAAUCUUUGCAACAUGCAUGAUGUUGUACGCUCAUUUGCUCAGUUUGUGGCUAGAGAUGAGGCACUAGCAGCUCACAGUGGGGAAACUAAUAUUGUUAGUAGACUUAGUGCACAUGAGUUUCUUCGGUUAUCUCUAGAAAGCAAAGCAUCAGAAUCAGAUGGGUUAGACUGGAGUUCUUUGCAGGCACAAAAGACACUAAGGGCGCUAAUAUCAGUUGGCUAUAUAAAUAUCAAGCCUGGGGAUUCCUUGGUUCAUUUUCCAUGUCUACGAACUUUAUGUAUAUAUUCUGCACAUGUUGUAGCAUUGCAUGAAUCUUUGCAUGAACUCAAGCACCUGAGGUACUUGUCGUUAAUAAACACGGACAUAUCUAGUCUGCCGGAUAGCAUUGGAAAGAUGAAAUUCUUGCAGUACAUUAGCCUUCAUGGAUGCGAACAAUUUGUGAAAGUUCCGCAUAGCUUUGUAAAGUUAGGGCUGCUAAGGUACCUUAGCUUCAGUGGAACAAGCAUAGAAGGCAUACCUAAGGGGUUUCAUGCUCUAACGAACUUGAGGGUAUUAACUGGGUUUCCAGCCCAGGUGGAUGGUGAUUGGUGCAGUUUGGAAGAGUUGGGUCCUCUUUCUCAGCUCAAGCAUCUUGAAUUGGACGGAUUGGAGAAUAUAACUGCUUCCUCAUCUGCAACAAAGGCAAAGCUUGGCAACAAGGUGCAACUUACUAUUCUAUUCUUAAAUUGUGGUAGUAUACUGGGAGAUGAUGGGCUGAUUAAAGAGGAAGAUGGUGUCUCUGAGGAAAAGCAACAACGAAUCGAGAAGGUGUUUGAGGAGCUCUGCCCUCCGCACAGGUUAGAAACUCUUGUCAUCAAGGGAUAUUUUGGCCAAAGGCUACCAUUGUGGAUGAUGUCAUCAUCAGCUGUGCCCCUCAAGAGCUUGAGGAAUCUGUUCAUUACUGACCUAGCUUGCUGCACACAACUUCCUGAUGGCCUUUCUCAGCUCCCCUUUUUAGAGUUCAUUCAGAUCAAUCAUGCUCCAGCCAUCAAACGUAUUAGACCUGAAUUCAUACAGUCCUACCAUCAGCACAGUCCCUGUCCUUCCCAGAUGGUGGCUGCAUUUCCGAGAUUGCAUGUGAUGAAUUUAAUAGGAAUGGUGGAAUGGGAGGAGUGGGAGUGGGAGGAGCAAGUGCAAGCCUUUCCUGUCUUGCAGCAGCUUAUGCUAGAGCAGUGCAAAUUGAAAUGUCUUCCUCCUGGCCUUGCCUCCCAGGCAAGGGCUUUGAAUUCGUUAUCCAUAACAUCUGUCCAAGGUCUUGUCUCUCUAGAGAACUUUCCAUCUCUGGUUGAGCUGGAUCUGGAUGAAAUCCUUGACCUGGAGAGGAUCACUAAUCUUCCAAGACUACAGAAGCUUACCAUUGAAGACUGCCCAAAGCUGAAGACAUUGGAAGGUGUUCCUGCACUCCAGAGGCUCAUACUCACGGAUGAAGACAUGAAGACACUCCCAGAAUACAUGGGAGGUAUAAACCCAAGGCAUUUGGAGCUAUAUUGUAGCCUUGCACUGCUCACUUCCAUAGCCGCUGCACAGUCUGGCCCUGAGUGGGACAAGUUCAGCCAUGUUAAGCAUGUCAAAGCAUAUGCAUCUGAAGGAGAUAAUACAAAGAAAUGGUUCGUCUUGUACACAGCUGAUCCCUACAACUUGGAGACAAAUGUCAGCCGUUCUUUCAUGUCCAGAGGAACCUUAACCUCUUUUGAGGACACACAACGAUUUGAGCAUGUCUUCAAAAUGACAAGAAAAACAUUUAGCUACAUCUGCAGCUUGGUGAUGAAGCCGUCAAUGAAAGAUAUGAACAGCUACACAUUUGUUGACGGGAGGGUACUUUCUUUAGAAGACCGAGUGGCCGUUUCUCUGAAAAGGUUGUACUCUAGUGAGCCACCGGAGACCAUAGGAUCCUCUGUUGGUGUGAACGAGUCAACUCUUUUAUUGGUAACUGAGAGCUUCGUUGUGUCUGUGGACAAGCGAGCAGGGCACCAUUCGCGCUGGCCAGACUCCAGCGAAAUGGAUAAGAUCAAAUCCAUGUUUGAAAAGAUCCACAAUAUGCAUAACUGUUGCGGUGUUAUAUGUACAACUCACAUCCCAUUUGGGCCAAACUGGGACCGUGAGAAGAAUGACAGCAUCCUAGUACAGCUCGUCAUUGAUCCAGAGAUGAGGUUCAGGUCCAUUUGGUGGGGACGGAUAAGCAGUAUGAACAUGUUGAGUAUUUUGCAUGAAUCUAAUUUGUUCAAUGAGUGCGAGGAGGGCGGUUACCUGAAUGGCAGCAAGCUGAAGGUGGCAUUAGAUGGAUCAGAAGUCGGGGAAUACAUAAUUGGUGAUGCAGGAUUCCCUCUUCUCCCGUGGCUACUCACACCUUACCAGGAAGAAGACCUCUCAGACUCCAAGGCGGAGUUCAAUAGGAGACACAACGCAGCCACAACCUGCGCUCUGAAGGCGCUGGCAAGGUUCAAAGACACAUGGAAGUACCUGCAGGGAGAGACGUCAUGCCCUGUCAAUCCGGACACACUAGUUGAAACAAUCCAUGCCUGCUGCUACUUGCAUAACAUAGUUAUAGAUAUGGAGGAGGAUGGGGCCAUGCCGAGCAUUGAGGAGCCGGAUGACUCUGAGGAUGAUGCAGCCACGUCGAGCGUUGAGGAGCCGGAUGAGUCUGAGGAACUGCGCCAGGUAGCAAAUGAGGAUGCUGUCGUGGCGAGGGAUAUGCUGUCGCAAUACUUCUUGACCACCAUGUCAUCUGAAUCGGGAGUCAGCCCGGUGGAUGCAGAGGAGGACCAUGAAGUAGUUGCAUCGGGCUCAGGGGAUGAAGACAAGGAACAAGAACUGAAAAACAACUUGUUUCUGCCACAUCUUCCAGCUUCAUUCUAGGUACUACUGCUAGCAUCAAGUUUUGUUCUCUUGUUGGUUUGUUAUUUUGAUACGGCACUAAUGUGAAUAAGAAUCUCCGAUCAACUCCGAAAGAAAGGAACUGAUACAACACAUUAUAUACCUGUUAGCUGAGACUCUUAUGCAUUUCACCCUGCAUCAGCGGUUGCUUCAAUUGACGGUUGAAGGGAAAGCCCACCAUCCUGCUGGAAGCUGGGAGCUCUUAAAUCCAUGCACGCGAAGCAGCCCAUGCGAUGGAGCCAGAGACGACUCUGAUGCUGCGACAGGAAGUGAAGUUGGGCAUUCUUUUUUAUACUGUACUAUAAUUUCAGCAAAGACAGUUGUUGGCAUGUACUGUAUGUGUUGAAAAAACGACGCUUGUGGCGUAGAAGAUGCAUGGAGACUCUCUGUAGUUCCCAGUCAGUGUACGUCGUGGAGACCCAGGCUCUCUUCUCAUUCAGUUGGUUCCCUUCACUCGUUGAUUUUCAGUUUUGUUAAUUCGGCUGGAACCUGUGCAUUUUUGGGUACUUCCAUAUUUGCCGUGCUUGAGCAUGGCUGAAAGUGUCUGUCUAAUUCA